UCCAGACUCCUACGGGAGGCAGCAGUGGGGAAUAUUGGGCAAUGGGCGCAAGCCUGACCCAGCAACGCCGCGUGAAGGAAGAAGGCUUUCGGGUUGUAAACUUCUUUUCUCAGGGACGAAGCAAGUGACGGUACCUGAGGAAUAAGCCACGGCUAACUACGUGCCAGCAGCCGCGGUAAUACGUAGGUGGCAAGCGUUAUCCGGAUUUACUGGGUGUAAAGGGCGUGUAGGCGGGAAAGCAAGUCAGAUGUGAAAACCAUGGGCUCAACCUGUGGCCUGCAUUUGAAACUGUUUUUCUUGAGUACUGGAGAGGCAGACGGAAUUCCUAGUGUAGCGGUGGAAUGCGUAGAUAUUAGGAGGAACACCAGUGGCGAAGGCGGCCUACUGGACGGUGACUGACGCUGAGGCUCGAAAGCGUGGGGAGCAAACAGGAUUAGAUACCCCUGUA
rnacentral:rRNA from 1 species